GAGAACAACAGUGAGCUCCCCCCAGUGAAAAUAUUAUAUCCUUGGCAGUAGAGGACCUUGCCUGGAGGUUAAUAUGAAUCAAUCAUAAGGGGCUUUUGUGUGUGUGCAUGUACGUGUGCGUAUGUGUUUGUGUGUG